rnacentral:rRNA from 1 species
UUCACGGUAUGCCUCAGUACGGCGAGUGAAGCGGCAAAAGCUCAAAUUUGAAAUCCCCCGGGAAUUGGAAUUUGAAAAAAUUUGGGUCCGGCCGGCAGGGGUUAAGUCCACUGGAAAGUGGGGCCACAGAGGGUGACAGCCCCGUGAACCCCUUUAACGCCUUCAUCCCAGAUCUCCAAGAGUCGAGUUGUUUGGGAAUGCAGCUCUAAGUGGGUGGUAAAUUCCAUCUAAAGCUAAAUACCGGCGAGAGACCGAUAGCGAACAAGUACAGUGAUGGAAAGAUGAAAAGCACUUUGAAAAGAGAGUGAAAAAGUACGUGAAAUUGUUGAAAGGGAAGGGCUUGCAAGCAUACACUUAACUGGGCCAGCAUCGGGGCGGCGGGAAAUAAAACCACCGGGGAAUGUACCUUUCGAGGAUUAUAACCCCGGUCUCCAUUUCCUUGUUGCCCCGAGGCCUGCAAUCUAUGGAUGCUGGCGUAAUGGGUGCAAGUCGCCCCUCUUGACACACCGACCAAACCG